rnacentral:rRNA from 1 species
UACAGAGGGGGCAAGCGUUAUUCGGAAUUAUUGGGCGUAAAGGGCGCGUAGGCGGCUUGGCAAGUGGAAGGUGAAAUCCCUCGGCUUAACCGGGGGAACUGCGUCUGAUACUGGAUGGCUUGAGUUUGGGAGAGGGACGCGGAAUUCCAGGUGUAGCGGUGAAAUGCGUAGAUAUCUGGAGGAACACCGGUGGCGAAGGCGGCGUCCUGGACCAACACUGACACUGAUGAGCGAAAGCCAGGGGAGCAAACGGG